UAGGUAAUCUUCCGCAAUGGACGAAAGUCUGACGGAGCAACGCCGCGUGAGUGAAGAAGGAUUUCGGUUCGUAAAACUCUGUUGUUAGGGAAGAAAAAAUGUAUAGUAACUAUAUACAAAAGAGACGGUACCUAACCAGACAGCCACGGCUAACUACGUGCCAGCAGCCGCGGUAAUACGUAGGUGGCAAGCGUUGUCCGGAAUUAUUGGGCGUAAAGCGCGCGCAGGUGGUUUAGAAAGUCUGAUGUGAAAGCCCACGGCUCAAACGUGGAGGGUCAUUGGAAACUAAUAAACUUGGGGGAAGGAGAGAAAAGUGGAAUUCCUAGUGUGGCGGUGGAAUGCGUAGAGAUUAGGUGGAACACCGGUGGCGAAAGCGGCUUUUUGGCCUGCAACUGACACUGAGGCGCGAAAGCGUGGGGAGCCAACAGG
rnacentral:rRNA from 1 species